UACAACCAGAAGAGGUUGGUGUAUGAUAAGGUCCCCAAAUGUCCACAUGAAUCAGUUGAAAGGGUCUAGAAGUUUUAAUGGAACUAUCAGGAAAUGGAAGCCUAGUCUGUCUGGCCAUAGGACAGACUGAACAUGGAAAAAGUUGUUUGGAAGCAAAUGGAAAAGACAAACCAGAAAUACAUUUCAUAUUUACAAAAGGAGAAUGAGCAAGUCUUAAGUGCCAAAUGUAAUUCAUGUCAGAUGUAAGAUCAGUAUUACAGAUGGAACUAUAUACAUGUGAAGGCAAUGAAACAGCCUUGUUAUCAGACAAAAUGUCAUCAUGACAAGAAACAGACACAGAAGGCAAUGCAACUACCUUGCUAUCAGACAAAGUGUCAUCAUUACAAGAAGAAGAUACAGAACAAACAGAAGUAGAGGAACAACUAACAGAGGAAGAAGAGGAAGGAGGAACCCAAGCCAGUUUAUAUAAGCCAGCAGCUUCUCUACCAAGAUCCAGAGGCCUCCUCAGAGACAGCAGCUUCUCUACCAAGAUCCAGAGGCCUCCUUAGAGAAGGGUCCUGUAUCAUGUGUAGUAAGCAUGAAUGUUCAGUGAACAUAGCUAUACAAUGUAACUGCUUCACUAACUUGUGGACAGAAAUCAAGUUCUGUUUAAAAUAAGGAACUAGCAGUACAUUGUGAAGAGUGAUGGAAGGAGUCAAUGCAAAAGAGCCUGUGCAUG
rnacentral:lncRNA from 1 species